UGUUAAGGCAGUAACAGGUGUAACAGGCAUUGAAAGGUGUAACAGUCAUAAACAAGUGAAACAGGUAUAAAUAGGUGUAACAGGCAUAAACAGGUAUCACAGACAUAUACAGGUGUAACGGGUAAAUUGCUAUAACAGGUGUAACAGGUGUAAAUAGGUGUAAAAGGCAUAACAGGUGAAUAUAAGUGUAACAAGUGUAACUGGUGUAACAGGUGUAACUGGUGUGAGUAGGUGUAACUGGUGUAACAGGUGUGAGUAGGUGUAACAGGUGUAAAUAGGUGUAACAGGUGUAACUGAUGUACAUAGGUGUAACAGGUGUAAAUAGGUGUAACUGGUAUAACAGGUGUGGGUAGGUGUAACAGGCAUAAAUAGGUGUAACUGGUGUAACAGGUGUAACAGGUGUGAGUAGGUGUAACAGGUGUAACUGAUGUACAUAGGUGUAACUGGUGUAACAGGUGUGAGUAGGUGUAACCGGGCUCACUCUGAGGGUGCAGAUGGAGACCUUGUCCAGGGCCACAGCUCUGUCAAUGCUUCUGUAAUCGGGCUCCCUGCAGUA